GACGAACGCUGGCGGCGUGCUUAACACAUGCAAGUCGAACGGAAAGGCCCUGCUUUUGUGGGGUGCUCGAGUGGCGAACGGGUGAGUAACACGUGAGUAACCUGCCCUUGACUUUGGGAUAACUUCAGGAAACUGGGGCUAAUACCGGAUAGGAGCUCCUGCUGCAUGGUGGGGGUUGGAAAGUUUCGGCGGUUGGGGAUGGACUCGCGGCUUAUCAGCUUGUUGGUGGGGUAGUGGCUUACCAAGGCUUUGACGGGUAGCCGGCCUGAGAGGGUGACCGGCCACAUUGGGACUGAGAUACGGCCCAGACUCCUACGGUAGGCAGCAGUGGGGAAUAUUGCACAAUGGGCGGAAGCCUGAUGCAGCAACGCCGCGUGCGUGAUGACGGCCUUCGGGUUGUAAACCGCUUUCGCCUGUGACGAAGCGUGAGUGACGGUAAUGGGUAAAGAAGCACCGGCUAACUACGUG
rnacentral:rRNA from 1 species